CUGUCCUAAGUCAAGCUUAAACUACCAUAGGUACAUGUGAGACACAGGAAAGUGAUGUGAUGUAAAAACUGUCUAUAUAUUUUGUGUCACUUCCUGUCUCCGGUCUCUUUUGGCAGAGAGGUGGCUCUGGCGGCAGCUUGCUGAGCAUUUCGGCAUCUUGGCGAGGUGGCAGUCCAGUUUUGGAGUUUCAGCAUGUGAGAUGGACUUUUUCCUCUUGGGUACUUUGCUUGCAAUUUAGGCAAGCUGCCAUGACAUGGUGGUAGGUGGGCUGUUCCCUGAAGUCAUGCUCUGGCAUGGACUGUGGCUGAGCAGGUUCUCCUUGGUAUUGACUGAAACCUUUUGAAUAAGGAGGGGGAAGGAGAACUCUGACUUUUAAAAAAAGUUUUAUUGAUGUGUUUUAUUUUUACAUUAGAAACAUUUACUGACUACUUCUAUUUUGUGAGAAGAUUCUUGUAACAAAGUAAGACACAAGUAAAGCUAACAAUGUAAUGGUUUCCUGUGAAAGUGCAUACAGACAAUGUUUGCUAAUGGUUUUAAGUAUAUACUUAUUCUGAGGAAAAAACCCAUUUAUCCCUAUGCUUUAUUGUUUGAAGAAUAACUUGUAUAUGACCACCUCCAGAGAAAGAACUGGUAAAAUAGAAAUAAGCAAAACAUAGUUAUCUUUUUGUCACAUGAUGCUCUAAUGGGGAGGAGGUAGGGAGGGAGUUAACUGGACAUUUUAAUACAUUUUAUAAC
rnacentral:lncRNA from 1 species